UCUAGUGGAAACCAGCCGCCAUGUCAUGAGGACACUUAGGCAGCCUGUACUGAGGCUUUCCACCAACAGAUAUGUGAGUCAUCUUGGAAGCCAGUCCUCCAGUCCUGCUCAAGGCUUUGGCUGACAGCAACCCAUGCCAACAUCCUGACUGCAACUUCAGGAAACCCUGAGCUAUGCCUGCCCAGCUAAGCUACUCCUGGUUUCCUGACUCUCAGAAACUCUUCAUCCCUACAUACCUUACAUGCUCCCUCAGAAACAUGGAUUUACAAACGCAGAGCUUAUCACAUGACUACUGGAUCUAAGAUUUCCUGGAGCAAUCCUAAACUAUGAAUAAAGAAAUGGAUACUACAGGGGUCAUCUCUUUGGGGCAGUCUGUGGGACUUGAUCAUCCACGGCGGUCCUGGAACCAAUCCCCCACA